rnacentral:rRNA from 1 species
UACGGAGGUGGCAGGCGUUACUCGGAUUGAUUGGGUGUAAAGGGUGUGUAGGCGGCGGUUCAAGUCGAGUGUGAAAGCCCUUGGCUCAACCAAGGAAAUGCAUUCGAAACUGCUCCGCUUGAGCGUCAGAGAGGAAGAUGGAAUUCACGGUGUAACAGUGAAAUGUGUAGAUAUCGUGAGGAACACCAGUGGCGAAGGCGAUCUUCUGGCUGACUGCUGACACUGAAACACAAGAGCUAGGGGAG